GCGUACUUUAUUCCACACACUUUUAUUAAACAUAUUUCAAUGACUAGGAAUAGGAAAAUUAAUUAUUUCUUUUGGGUGAUUCUGUUGGUAUAACAGUUCAAAUGCUUGUUUCUUGCCAACUUCAUUCCUUCCUCAAUGUUUACAUUUCUUGGUGAGCUCCAGAAAAUACAGCAAGAAAAACCACGAAUUUCCCGGAUAAUAAAGUAAAUCAUGAAAUUUCGCUUCUGCGGCGAUGGUGAUUGUCCUGACUGGAUCCUGGCGGAGAUCCACUCGACGCUGUCCGUGCUGAGCUCAGUGAAGCUCCGCGUGUUGGCGCAGAUGGUGGCUAAAAGCACCCUCGGCGAAGAGAUUCCGGAGGAGAAGCUCCUGGACACGAUGAGUGCCAAUAAGCUGGACCUGAAGGCGGCCAGAUCAGCAUUUGCGUGUCUCAGGUACAUCCUGACCAGUGCUGUGCGCCACAACACUCCGCCAGCGGUGUUCGAGGCGGAACUGCAGCAACUGGGCCUCCCGAAGGAGCACUCAGCCGGCAUUUGCAGAACUCUGGGCGAGUUCUCUGACAGACUGCAGGACUUCCUCAGCGGUCAGACGCUCAGUGUCAAUGAACUGGAGGAUGUUAGCUGUGCACCCUCAGAGACACAUCCAGAUUGUGUGAACCUGAGUCUGGGCGUCAGAAAUGAAAUAGUAAAUGGAUUGCCGCAGAAGACGGAGCACUGCGUGACCAUUCACGGUGGCCAGCUGCCGAUAUUGAUAAAGGAGCUGAAGACUGCGCGGGAUGUUGUGGAGAGGCUGUCCUAAGGGAUGUGGCAAGGACGGAGUGUGAUUAUGUGCAGAAUCCUGACAAUGCAGAGAAACGACUCGUGUUUCGACCCUGGCGAGGGCCAGAGUAUAAAAUCCAAUAA